rnacentral:rRNA from 1 species
AUUGAACGCUGGCGGCAGGCUUAACACAUGCAAGUCGAGCGGAAGAACGGUGCUUGUGCCUGGUGCCAGAGGCGGACGGGUGUGUAAUGCCUAGGAAUCUGCCUGCCAGUGGGGGAUAACGUCUGGAAACGGGCGCUAAUACCGCAUACGACCUGAGGGUGCAAGAGGGUGAUCUUCGGACCUUACGCUAUCAGAUGAGCCUAGGUCGGAUUAGCUAGCUGGUGGGGUAAAGGGCUACCAAGGCGAGGAUCGGUAGCUGGUCUGAGAGGAUGAUCGGUCACACUGGAACGGAGACACGGUCCAGACGCCUACGGGAGGCCGCAGUGGGGAAUGGUGGGCAAUGGGCGAAAGCCUGACCCAGCCAGGCCGCGUGUGUGAAGAAGGUCUUCGGAUUGUAAAGCAGUUUUAGUGGGUGGGAAGGGCAGUAGGUUAAGACCUUGCUGUUUUGACGGUACCGGCUGAAUAAGCACCGGCUAACUACGUG